AUGCAGUCGAACGGAUUGGCGUUUAGCGGAAGCUUGCUUGAGGCGGGGAUCACGGGAAACCGUGAGAGCCGCGGAUGGCAAGCGGAAGCUAUUAGCCGGUCAGUGGCGGACGGGUGAGUAACACGUGGGCGACCUGCCCUAAAGUGGGGGAUAACUAUCCGAAAGGAUGGCUAAUACCGCAUGUGGUCCGACAUUCAUUUGCCGGACUAAAGGAGAAAUCCGCUUUUCGAGGGGCCCGCGGCCCAUCAGCUAGUUGGUAGGGUAAUGGCCUACCAAGGCGGUGACGGGUAGCUGGUCUGAGAGGAUGAUCAGCCACAUUGGCACUGAGACACGGGCCAAACUCCUACGGGAGGCAGCAGUGAGGAAUAUUGCGCAAUGGGCGAAAGCUUGACGCAGCAACGCCGCGUGGGCGAUGAAGGUCUUCGGAUCGUAAAGCCCUUUUCCAGAGGAAGAGGAAGGACGGUACUCUGGGAAUAAGUCUCGGCUAACUACGUGCCAGCAGCCGCGGUAAAACGUAGGAGACUAGCGUUAUCCGGAUUUAUUGGGCGUAAAGCGCGUGUAGGCGGUGCUUUAAGUUGGAUGUAAAAUCUCCUGGCCUAACUGGGAGGCGCCAUUCAAAACUGGAGCACUUGAGGGCAGAAGAGGGAAGUGGAAUUCCCGGUGUAGCGGUGGAAUGCGUAGAUAUCGGGAGGAACACCUGUGGCGAAAGUGGCUUCCUGGGCUGCCCCUGACGCUGAGACGCGAAAGCUAGGGGAGCGAACGGGGAUUAGAUACCCCGGUAGUCCUAGCUGUAAACGAUGGAUACUAAGUGUUGGUGGUAUUAACCCCCAUCAGUGCCC
rnacentral:rRNA from 1 species